UCGAGGUGUCGUUUGGACGGACUGUGUGCAGCUCCUGGUAAUCUUUUGCGCCCCAGCGACCAUCGUCGCUAAGGUAAUAAUUGAUUACAUGUCACCAAACGCAGCAGUUCUUCCGCUGAAAGGCAUGGACAUCACUAAAUAUAUCGCAAACUACAGCCUGGAUUUUACCAGCGAAGAAAAUAUAUGGAGUUGUAUUUUCGGUUCAGCCGCUCCAACAAUGUGCCGCUUGUGCUUCGACCAAGUUGUUGCACAAAGGUUGCUAGCAUCCAGAACACUCAAAGACGCCCAAAGGACUGCGAUUACCAGUUCUUUCCUUUUCUCUUGCGGUUAUGGAGCACUCUUCUCAAUGGGCGUGGCAUUGACCAUAUGGUUUCGAGGUUGCGACCCAUUGAUAUCAGGCGCAGUCAAUCGCGUUGAUCAA